AAAUGGUAUCAGAGCACAUGUUGACUGUAGGACGUGACCCUAGAAACUGGAAAUUUCUUAGGAAAGGAUCUUUCAAAAAAUUUAUUUUCAACAACACCUUUUACUUCUCAUCUCUUCUGAUUUCAUCGAAUGUUCCCUCUCACCUCCAAUAGUUAGACAAUACCCUUACCCCUUUGACCACAUGAAGGAUCAACUGAGUCCCACUUCAAAGUAAAGAGGAUUUCGUCAUGCAUUUAAAGAAUUGAAGCUGCACCAAUUGAAGAAUCUCAAGACCCGAAGAAUUCGAAGACCCUGAAGCGUUCGAAUAUUUGUAUGACCAUUAGAAGUCCAAACCCCU
rnacentral:lncRNA from 1 species